UGACCUCGGAUCAGGUAGGAAUACCCGCUGAACUUAAGCAUAUCAAUAAGCGGAGGAAAAGAAACCAACAGGGAUUGCCCUAGUAACGGCGAGUGAAGCGGCAACAGCUCAAAUUUGAAAUCUGGCUACUUUGUAGUCCGAGUUGUAAUUUGUAGAGGAUGCUUUUGGUGAAGUGCUUUCUGAGUUCCC
rnacentral:rRNA from 1 species